GAGGCGCCAGUGACAUUUUGCUGAAUUGCUUGUGGUGAAUUCUAAGAAAAAAUAAAAGAUAUUACUUUGAAGAAAAGGGGAAUGCUAGCAUGGAGCUCAUUGCCUGGAAGGAGAAGAGGCUGAAAACAUAAGUAGAGAAAAAUCAAUUUGGGGGCCUUUUAGAAAAUCUCACACCACUUCCUAGUUGGAGCAAUUAAACAAUAGAGAAGAUGGGUAUUCUGGAGCAGAAUUUAAUGAAACAGAACUCCACCAUCUAUGGCAAGUUUGACUGCUUGAGUCUCCAGAGGAUAAUAGUUGGAGGCCACUGAGGCCCAAAUUCAUCAGUCCGGCCAUUGAAGGACACAAGUGAACAAAGGAGGACGGCAAAGACAGAACUGUGAUAUUCAAACACUCAAUAGCUCACAGUGUCGGGGUUCAUUAUGACACUUACUAAGCACAUGCCAUAUUUCUGACACUGUGCUAAGAGUUUCAUGAACAUUAACUAAAUUAACCCCAUAAAAACGCCAUUAGAAAGAUGCAGUUUUGUACCCCCUUACACAGAUGAAGAAAAUAAAGUAUAGAGACUUUAAGAAAUUUGCCAGAAGUCUUAUAACUGGUGAGUAAACUUUAGCUACUUGAUCAGACCUCAACCAGGCGAUCAGAACCCAGAACCCAUACGGCUCAACCAAUACUUUAAUCUACUUCUCAAAGUCUAAGGCUAGCCUGGACUUCUUUUUGUGGAGACUGGAUUCCAAGAUUGAAAGUAGAAGCUACAUGUUUUCUCCAAGCAGGGCUUUCAGACUUCACUUCUGCAACAUUUUAUUGAUGAAAGCAAGUCACAAGACCAGACUGAUUCAAGGGGUGGAGAAAUAGACCCUACUUCUUGAUGGAGGGAGGAGUAGAGUUACAUUGCAAAGGGAUCUGGACAAAAAAAGGAGUGAUUUAUUAGGAAUCAUGUUUAACAAUUUACCACAAUCCCCAGCGCAACUGCCUGUUAGCUGGAUCCAGAAAUGUCUACGACUACUGCAAUGCCACUUGGCCUUAGGGGUGAUGUGACCCAGUGUAAAGAGAUGGUGGUCUUAACCAAUCACAGUUAAGAUAGUUUAGUUUUGGAAGGUAUAAAAAAUAUGUAACAACAUGAAUGCACUUUUAGGGUCAGACAAGAGACUUGGAAAGAGCCUGCAAAAUGGAGGAGCCCUGAGGCCUAAGUCUCAUGAGUGUCAAUGCUUACCUGUAUCUAGACACUGGCAUCCCCCUUUUGAUAAGGCCAAGAUUGAUUGUUUUCCUUUUCUACCUACCCUAUAUCUAAUCCAUGUACAAACACUGUUGACACACAAAAGAACCCUAAAUUCAACAAUCUGUGAAGAAUUUUUGCACUAACAUGUUAGUUCAAAAACUCAACAUUGCUUGCUAAGACUAUUGCAAUAAACUCCUCUAUGAUCCCCUAAUUUGAUUCUUGCUCCUCUUAUUUUUUACACAGUCAUCAGAGUAAAUCUUUUCAAAGGUAAAUUGGAUUUUAUGACUUUU
rnacentral:lncRNA from 10 species